AUGUCAGGUUUUAGCCAUGGCAUAAAUCAUGUAGUUCAUUCCAUCUCCUUUUAUUACUCGUUGGCCGUUUGGCAGUACAUCAUAUUCAUCUGCCAUCUUACCAUCCUGAAAAGUGUAGCACAAAUUAAGUUACUGUGUAUGCCAGAUCCAAAUUAGAUUAUGUCGAAGCUAUCUGGACUUGUUAUUUUUGGACUCUACUAUUAAAAUGAAUAGCAAGAGGAAUGAUUUGUACCACCGGAACACCAGGAUACAGCCGGAGAGUCUCGGUAAUCGCAGCAUGGAGAGCAUGUAGAAGAACCAUGUAAGGGUAUUCCAUGUGGUGUCUUUACUAGCAAUCAGGAAGCUGAGGACUAUGUCACGAAGGAUCCAAUUUACCAUCUGACAUGCAUACAGAAUCAUCUACCACCAUCUUACUGGUUAGCAAGAAAAACAGGAGGAACAAAAAUGAUGAGCAAGGAAAACCACCCAGGAUGAAAAAUGAUGAGCAAGUUUGUCUUAAGGAUAUGCUCGAUGACGGCAGGGUCGGCGGUUAAAAUCUCACUGUGCCCAGGAUAGACAUGCCUAAUGGUGGGGUGCAGGAGCGCAUACUUCACAUGCUCAUCGAAGAUCUUGUCAAAGUUGUU